UACCGCAUUCAUUCCUAUGAAUAGAUUUGAAUUUUUUCUUGCAUGUAUUUGAACUGAGCUUUAUAGAACACUAUGUAGUGUUAUGUAGAAGAACUGCUACUUCUGAUGCUAAUCUUUUACAUCUAAAUAGAAAGACACCGGUUUCUAAAGGCUCUUCGUGUCUUUCCGGUGACUUAUUCUCAAUAAGUGGAUGAUCGCACAGAGCUGACAUCUCAAAAAAGGGCAUCAUUUUCCCGUGAGGAUUUCAGUAGUUGGAACUGGAGAGUGUUAUCCCUCCUGGGAGACACAGGGGCAAGACUGGCCUGGUCGGCAGCCUGGAGAAUCCUGGAUUCCAGCUCACACCUGAAACGGACAAGCAUGUUAUCCGUAGGGGCCAGGAGUAAGAUGCGCCAGGGGUUGAGGCUUGGAAGACUGGAGAAGCUGAGAUCAGACCUCUGCAUCCUGGAGAUGAAGCCAAAUGUUCCGAAGCCCAUUGUGCUUGGAGCUGAACAGAGAGAGAUGUUUAUACAUGAAAAACCCAGCUUGAGAUGGAGAGGCCCCUCUCUGCCAGGCAUGGGAUGGUGAUCUUGUAAGCGGCCAGGUACCCUGGCCCUCCCGCCUCCGAGAGCCCGAAGCUUUUUCCACUCUG
rnacentral:lncRNA from 1 species